AGAAUGAAGAAUUUGUCAAGCUGUUACAUGGUAGCAAUGUUCCUUGCACAAACCAUGUUGUGGGAUCAAAUUACUGCUUCAUGAAUGUCUAUGAGGAUAGAAUACCUGGAAGGGCCAUCAUCAUCUCUGUCAUAGAUAAUCUUGUGAAGGGAGCAUCUGGUCAGGCUUUGCAAAAUCUUAAUCUGAUGAUGGGACUGCCUGAGAAUAUGGGGCUGCAAUACCAGCCCCUGUUCCCUUGAUCUUUUGUGUCAUUAUCUAUGAUUACAUUAUGUAGGAGUCCGGAAACCAAAUUGUCAUUACUGUCAAGAGGUGGCAAGGAGCCUGACAUUAGAAUUCAGUCAAGUCGAAGUUAGACAGUUAGUGUAGCUUGGUCUGUGUUGUUUUAGCUUUAUUAAACCAUUAAGAGAAUAAUGAUGAUGGCAAUUUAGCAGUACAAUGGUAGUAUUAUGUGGGCA